UUCCGGAGCAAAAAAAUGACAAGACUUGUGGAUAUUUCAUUAUGCGUUACAUGAAAGAAAUUGUGGAGGACAAGAACUUGGAUUUUAGUAUGAAGUGGGGAACGAGGUCAAAUUUGGUUUACACAGUCAAUGAUAUUGAUGAGAUCCGAGCGGAAUGGGCUGAGCAUGUUUUGAAGUUCCCAGAAAAUUAAGUAUCAGCCUAUAUAUAUGCUUUUGUUUCUGGUAGGUUAUGAGCAGUAGUAGUGUCUAGGAACUGCUUUUGUGCAUUUUGACAGAACUGCCUAUAUAUAUGCUUUUGUUUCUGGUAGGUUAUGAGCAGUAGUAGUGGCUAGGAACUGCUUUUGUGCAUUUUGACAGAACUGAUGGAAAGUGUUGAACAAAUGCAUGCAGUUGCUGUAACUACUCUAUGGAUGCUACUAGGUUUUUGUCUUAGUUAGAUUAAGAUCCGUGCAACAAUGGCAGUCAUUAAAAUCAUUUAAUGUAAAGGCUAGCAUGCUAGCUAGUUUAGUAUUAUGCUA